rnacentral:tRNA from 1 species
ACGUCGGUAGUUCAAUUGGUAGAGCGGCGGUCUCCAAAACCGCAAGUUGCAGGUUCGAGUCCUGCCCGACGUGCCA